GGUUGUUUGGAUAGUGUGUUGGUGAAUAUAUAUGCAGUUUGAUCAGUUGAGUGAACAAAUGUAGUCACGAGCUUCUUGAGAACAGCAUCACGAACAAAAUGACAGUCCAUUUCGACAUGUUUAGUCCGUUUAUGAAAAAUUGGAUUUGCGGCAAUGUAGAUGGCUCAUUGAUUGUCACAAAACAUUUCCAUAGGUUUAGGAUGAGAGGAACUAAGUUCAAGCAAGAGAUUUCUUAACCACAUGAGUUCUCUAAUUGUAUGAGCCAUACCACGAUAUUCGGCUUCUGAGCAGGAACGAGCAAUUGUACUUUGCUUUUUUGCUUUUCCAAAUAACUAGAUUGCCACAUAAGAAGGUGCAAUAACCUGUAGUGGAACAUUUAUCUUCACGUGAGCCAGUCCAAUCAGCAUCAGUAAAGGCAGUGAGCUGACAAUGACCACUUUUUUUAUAAGUAAGCCCUUUUCCAGGGCAACUCUUCAGAUAUCUUAACAUCCAAUAUGCAGCUUCUUAAUGACAAACUUUGGGUGCAUCCAUAAACUGGCUCAGGACACUAAUAAUGAAUGAGAUAUCAGAUCGAGUCAUGGUAAGAUAGAUCAACUUGCCAAUCAGCCGUCUAUAGCAUGCACAGUCUCCAAACAAGUCACCCUCUUCAAUUGUCAGCUUAAGACUAGAGUCUCAACAUAAAGCAACAUAAAAUAACUAAAAUAACUAAGUCUCAACACUCUCAAGCUGGAGUAUAUAGAUCUUGCAGAUCCAGCUUGAAGCAACAACUCUGCGAGGGUUGUUUGAAUAGUGUGUUGGUGAAUAUAUAUGCAGUUUGAUCAGUUGAGUGAACAAAUGUAGUCACGAGCUUCUUGAGAACAGCAUCACGAACAAAAUGAUAGUCCAUUUCGACAUGUUUAGUCCGUUUAUGAAAAAUUGGAUUUGCGGCAAUGUAGAUGGCUCAUUGAUUGUCACAAAACAUUUCCAUAGGUUUAGGAUGAGAGGAACUAAGUUCAAGCAAGAGAUUUCUUAACCACAUGAGUUCUCUAAUUGUAUGAGCCAUACCACGAUAUUCGGCUUCUGAGC
rnacentral:lncRNA from 1 species